AUUGAACGCUGGCGGCAGGCCUAACACAUGCAAGUCGAACGAGUGGCGGACGGGUGAGUAAUGUCUGGGAAACUGCCCGAUGGAGGGGGAUAACUACUGGAAACGGUAGCUAAUACCGCAUACCAUCGGAUGUGCCCAGAUGGGAUUAGCUAGUAGGUGGGGUAACGGCUCACCUAGGCGACGAUCCCUAGCUGGUCUGCGAGGAUGACCAGUCAAACUGGGAGUGAGACACGGCCCAGAGUCCUACGGGAGGAAGAAGUGGGGAAUUUUGGACAAGGGGGGAAACCCUGAUCCAGCCAUCCCGCGUGUGCGAUGAAGGCCUUCGGGGUGUAAAGCACUUUUGGCAGGAAAGCGGUACCUGCAAAAUAAGCACCGGCUAACUACGUGCCAGCAGCCGCGGUAAUAC
rnacentral:rRNA from 1 species